AAAGGAAUUGACGGGGGCCCGCACAAGCGGUGGAGCAUGUGGUUUAAUUCGACGAUACGCGAAGAACCUUACCUGGCCUUGACAUACUAAAAAGCUUUAAGAGAUUAGAGUGUGCUAGCUUGCUAGAAUUUAGAUACAGGUGCUGCACGGCUGUCGUCAGCUCGUGUCGUGAGAUGUUGGGUUAAGUCCCGCAACGAGCGCAACCCUCGUGUUUAGUUGCUAACAGUUCGGCUGAGAACUCUAAACAGACUGCCUACGCAAGUAGGAGGAAGGUGAGGACGACGUCAAGUCAUCAUGGCCCUUACGGCCAGGGCUACACACGUGCUACAAUGGGGUAUACAAAGAGCAGCGAUACGGUGACGUGGAGCAAAUCUAGAAAAUGCCUCUCAGUUCGGAUUGUAGUCUGCAACUCGACUACAUGAAGUUGGAAUCGCUAGUAAUCGUAGAUCAGCAAUGCUACGGUGAAUACGUUCCCGGGUCUU
rnacentral:rRNA from 1 species